rnacentral:sRNA from 1 species
GGCAGCGCAUUCUUGUGCUAUGCCGGGA